rnacentral:rRNA from 1 species
UUUGGUGGCGAUAGCGGAGGGGUUCCACACGUGCCCAUCCCGAACACGACCGUUAAGCCCUCCAGCGCCGAUGGUACUUGGACCGCAGGGUCCUGGGAGAGUAGGACGUCGCCAAGC